GAGUGAACCGCGUCAAUUUUCA
rnacentral:miRNA from 1 species